UCAUUCUCCAAGUCUGAGUUAUUUGGUCAAAAAAACCUCCAAAUGCUUCAGACAACUCUCGCAAACUUGUCAUAGCUUUUGGUAUUCCAGGCCACAGAAGAGCCCAGGCAGAAUCAGUGUUACAUUUGUGGUCAGAUGAGCUAACGACAUCCUUCCUGACUUCUUUCUCAGAAUUAGGAAACCCUGAUUAGCAUUUAGAACCUCAUUUUCACAGACUUCACUCAUUAAAACAUCAAGACCUAGGUAACGCACCACUGAAAUUUCAUAAUAUGGAGGAUAUGUUUAAAUAUGUUUAAAAUAUGUAUUUUUAACUGUGGUUAAAAUAUGUUUUUAAAAUGUUUAUGAGUCAAAAUAAUUAAAAUUGCCAUUUAACGUAA
ensembl:lncRNA SLC16A1-AS1 SLC16A1 antisense RNA 1